CACCCCCCCUUGUUCCUAUCCCGCUUGUAUACCCCCGUCGCAAGCUUACCCUGUGAAGGACUGCUAGUGAGCAAAACUGGUUUGUGCCCAAGACGUCAGGUCGAGGUGCAGCGAAUGGGGGGGAAAGAAAUGGGCUACAUUCCCUGCCCCAGGGAACUACGAAUGAUAUGCUGAAACACAUAUCGGAAGGAGGAUUUAGCAGUAAGCAGAAAAUAGAGCGUUCCGCUGAAGCCGGCCCUGAAGCGUGCACACACCGCCCGUCAUUCUCUCCAAACUUCUUCAACCUGUUAACUAAAACAACAAUAUUCGUGAAGGGGAGGUAAGUCGUAACAUGGUAAGUGUACCGGAAGGUGCACUUGGAAGAAGA
rnacentral:rRNA from 1 species